rnacentral:rRNA from 1 species
GUGGGGAAUAUUCCGCAAUGGACGAAAGUCUGACGGAGCAACGCCGCGUGAGUGAUGAAGGUUUUCGGACUGUAAAGCUCUGUUGUUUAGGACGAAAGUGCCUGUUGCAAAUAGUUACAGGUAUUGACGGUACUGAACGAGGAAGCCACGGCUAACUACGUGCCAGCAGCCGCGGUAAUACGUAGGUGGCAAGCGUUGUCCGGAAUUAUUGGGCGUAAAGAGCAUGUAGGCGGGAAUCUAAGUCUGUUGUGAAAAUGCGGGGCUCAACCCCGUAUUGCGAUGGAAACUGGGUUUAUUGAGUGCAGGAGAGGAAAGGGGAAUUCCCAGUGUAGCGGUGAAAUGCGUAGAUAUUGGGAGGAACACCAGUGGCGAAGGCGCCUUUCUGGACUGUGUCUGACGCUGAGAUGCGAAAGCCAGGGUAGCGAACGGGAUUAGAAACCCGUGUAGUCC